GAUGAACGCUGGCGGCGUGCUUAACACAUGCAAGUCGAACGGAAAGGCCGAAGCUUGCUUCGGUACUCGAGUGGCGAACGGGUGAGUAACACGUGGGUGAUCUGCCCUGUACUUCGGGAUAAGCUUGGGAAACUGGGUCUAAUACCGGAUAUGACGAUCUCUUGGAUGGGGUUGUGGAAAGCUUUUGCGGUAUGGGAUGAGCUCGCGGCCUAUCAGCUUGUUGGUGGGGUAAUGGCCUACCAAGGCGUCGACGGGUAGCCGGCCUGAGGGGGUGUACGGCCACAUUGGGGCGGGGAUACGGCCCAGACUCCUACGGGAGGCAGCAGUGGGGAAUAUUGCACAAUGGGCGCAAGCCUGAUGCAGCGACGCCGCGUGGGGGAUGACGGCCUUCGGGUUGUAAACUCCUUUCGCAAUCGACGAAGCCUUUUGGUGACGGUAGGUUGAGAAGAAGCACCGGCUAACUACGUG
rnacentral:rRNA from 1 species